GGGGAUGUAAAGGUUUCGACGGGGGUCGUGAGCCUUGGUAAGCGAGCAGCGGGGCGGGACCGCUUCAUCAAUCCGUACCUUAAAUUUAGAUGAGAAAUCCUCUAAAAAGAACAGCAAUGUCAUGAACGUUAACUUUAAUAACAAUUAUGGGAUGGCUGUUGCAGCUUAAUUAAAAAGCUGCCGUCCUCUCCGGGAGUACCGCGGCCCGGUUGAGGGCGUAACUUAGCGGUGAACGUGAGCCGGAUGUUGUCUCACAUUUGGCCAUGAUUUUGAGGCUGCCAGUGCAGGGGGCCUGCCUGUUCGGCAUCAUGUAUUGGGAGAAGUAAAUGAUAGGCUGCGCUCGAAGAAAUCCAAGGUAAGUGGCUUUCGGACAGGGGUCCGACUCCCCUCAUCUCCACCA
rnacentral:tmRNA from 1 species